rnacentral:rRNA from 1 species
CAGUAGCGUAUAUUAAAGUUGUUGCAGUUAAAAAGCUCGUAGUUGGAUUUCUGGUUGAAGCGACCGGUCGGGCGUUGAUUCGUCUGCACUGGAGUCGGUUUUGGCCAUCCUCUAGGAAAGUGCGUCUGGUAUUAAGUUAUCGGGCGUAUGAUCCUGGUCUUUUACUGUGAAAAAAUUAGAGUGUUUAAAGCAGGCCUUCGCCUUGAAUACAUUAGCAUGGAAUAAUAAGAUAGGACUUUGGUCUAUUUUGCUGGUUUGCAGACCGAAGUAAUGAUUAAUAGGGAUAGUUGGGGGUAUUUAUAUUCCGAUGUCAGAGGUGAAAUUCUUAGAUUUUCGGAAGAUAAACUUAUGCGAAAGCAUUUACCAAGGAUGUUUUCAUUA